CUGUAGUCCUACUCUGCUGCCGCGCUGGGACCUUCUCUGGUGGAAAGACAGCCCAACUGACCGGACCUGAGAAAACAUCGGCGCAGGGCUUUCCCGUUAUUAAAGAGGGCAUCGCCUCUGAAGCUUAAGGAUCGUAGCAAAGUCUCUGGAGCACUGAGAUAAAGAAAUUUGCUCAGAGUCACCCAGUACGUUUCAUUAGAAGGGACUCGAACGCAGCGCGUCUUGCCGGCUCCAAGGCCGGCUCUCUCUUUCGGCCGUUUCGUUAUUCGUCUGUCUGGCGACUAAGACUGGCGAGGGUCUCUAGUGCUGCCUUCUAUGCAGCAGCAGAUGUUUAUUGAGAUUUGCCAUAGUGCACAACUCUAGGGGGUAUAUAAAUGACUGUUCUUGACCUCAGGAAGUUUUUAAGAACUGGGUAAGAAACAGAACUAUACAAACAGGUAUAGAGGACAGAAUACUGAGAUGAAUAAACAAAGAGCUGUGGAGGUUGAGGGAGAGAUCAUAUGAUCUCUCUAGGGCCUUCCCUUAGCCAAAUUUUCAGGCCUGAUCUUUAGACCUAAAUUUCCAUUUGUUUCUAAGUCUUAUUUAUUCAGACUCGAAAAUAUCUUUUCUGUCCCCCUUUUUAUUCCUCUAGAAUCCAGAUAAAGGCCCUUUACUACCAGAUCAGUCUAUUGCAAUGUAUUUCUAUAAAAGAUCCCAACACAAGUCUGCAGAAAAGGACCUGCUCACUUUGUGGUACCCACUAAGUGCUGGGCCCUGCUUUCUAACUAAAGGAUCUGCUACUGAAGGAGCUCACUCUGUACCAGUUGGGGGGGAUGCAGUACCACCAUGUGUUCAUCACUGAUAUCUAUAGUUCCCUGUAACUCAUCUGUCUCUCAUAGAGCCACCUUGAUUUCAUUAAGAAUCUUUUUUUGAGGAGAAAAACAUCAACUCAAAAAUAAAAGAUAACUGAAAGUGUUUAAAAAUA